UGGAGCCACAUAGAGGAAAUGAGCAGC
rnacentral:piRNA from 1 species